rnacentral:misc_RNA from 1 species
AUAGUUGUUUUGCGGAACAAUCGCAUGGUAACAUUAGUUGUUGGUUAUCAACUCACAAUAUCGGUUGUCUUAAGGAAUGGUUUCUUAUGGGAUAGUCAAAAGAACCUUGAUGAUGUUACAUUAGACGUCGCGCUGUGGACUGUCCAUGGAUACAUGGCUUACUACUGGAAAAAUAAUUCUAGAACAAAUCUAGCCCGUGUCGAGGACAUGUGGACUGAUUCUAACGGGAAAAAAAAGCAAUCUGCUAAUCCUCGCUACAUGAUGUUUACUAUGACCAGCUGCUUGAUUUUCUUUAUUGUUUUCAGUCUCC